CACAAUGUUAUACUGGAGAGCAGGAGGACCUGUGUUGGGUAUAAGUAACAGACUUUACUUUUUCUUCUAUGUGGCUGUUUGCA
rfam:Pan troglodytes isolate Yerkes chimp pedigree #C0471 (Clint) chromosome 19, whole genome shotgun sequence.